rnacentral:rRNA from 1 species
ACACUCCUGCGGGAGGCAGCAGUGGGGAAUAUUGCACAAUGGGCGCAAGCCUGAUGCAGCCAUGCCGCGUGUGUGAAGAAGGCCUUCGGGUUGUAAAGCACUUUCAGCGGGGAGGAAGGCGAUACGGUUAAUAACCGUGUUGAUUGACGUUACCCGCAGAAGAAGCACCGGCUAACUCCGUGCCAGCAGCCGCGGUAAUACGGAGGGUGCAAGCGUUAAUCGGAAUUACUGGGCGUAAAGCGCACGCAGGCGGUCUGUCAAGUCGGAUGUGAAAUCCCCGGGCUCAACCUGGGAACUGCAUUCGAAACUGGCAGGCUUGAGUCUUGUAGAGGGGGUAGAAUUCCAGGUGUAGCGGUGAAAUGCGUAGAGAUCUGGAGGAAUACCGGUGGCGAAGGCGGCCCCCUGGACAAAGACUGACGCUCAGGUGCGAAAGCGUGGGGAGCAAACAGGAUUAGAUACCCCUGUAGUCCCAUGAU